GGUUUCGUAGCUCAGCUGGUAGAGCAUUUACAACCUUCGGGCAUGUUGUUUCUGUCGCUGCUUCGAAUCCAGUCGAAAUCC